rnacentral:rRNA from 1 species
AUGUCGCCUGGGCCGGCUGACCCCGCGGCGUUGCUCCCUGGGCUGGCUGCUCCCGCGGCACAGUCACCUGAGCGGACGGCUUCGCCGAUCGUUGCUUCGAGCGGCUCGUCUUCACCGACCACUCCAGGCACGUCUUCUUCACCGGCUUCGCCGCUAAUGGACAGUGGCUCCUCUGUGGUGGCUGUUCCACCGCCACCUCCGCCUGUCGUCCUGCGUCCUCAUACUCGCAGCAAGAGUGGCAUCUUCCAACCGAAGAAGCGCACUGACGACACUGUUGCAUGGCUUGCGGCCUGUAUGGCGCAUGCUGAGGCCGAUCCUACGACUGAACCACGACAUUUUCAGGCAGCACUUGGCAUUCCACACUGGCGUGCUGCGAUGGAGCAGGAGAUUCAUGCUCUUCAACGAAACAACACUUGGCGCUUGGUUCCACCUCCAUCUGGUGUCAAUGUCAUUGACUCUAAAUGGGUAUUCAAGGUGAAGAAACAUGCUGAUGGUUCCAUUGAGAGAUACAAGGCACGUCUGGUUGCCAAGGGAUUCAAACAACGGUAUGGUAUUGAUUAUGCAGACACAUUCAGUCCUAUUAUUAAACCAACCACUAUUCGUGUUCUUCUCUCCUUGGCUGUUACUCGAGGAUGGUCGCUUCGACAGCUUGACGUUCAGAAUGCUUUUCUCCAUGGAGUUCUGGAAGAAGAGGUUUAUAUGCGUCAGCCGUCCGGUUUUGUUGAUCCUGCUCAGCCACAUCAUUUGUGUCGUCUUGUCAAAGCUCUUUAUGGUCUGAAGCAGGCCCCUCGUGCGUGGCAUGCACGUCUUGGCGCUGCUCUUCGUGCUCAUGGGUUUGUGCCUUCUGCAGCGGACACGUCUUUGUUUAUCCUUCAGCGACCGGCGGUGACUAUGUACAUUCUGGUCUAUGUUGAUGACAUCAUCCUUGUUAGUUCGUCUACUGCUGCUACGGAUCGGCUGGUGUCCUCUCUUGGUGCUGAGUUUGCUGUUAAGGAUCUUGGGAGACUGCAUUAUUUUCUGGGUCUCGAGGUUCUUCAUUCUGAUGGUGGCUUGACUCUUACUCAGAAGAAGUACUCCCAGGAUCUCCUCCGUCGUGCAGGUAUGUUGCAGUGCAAGCCUGCUUCGACUCCCAUGUCUGUCACGGACAAACUGACAGCUCUUGCUGGUGACUUGCUUUCUCCUGAGGAUGCCACUGAGUAUCGCAGCAUUGUUGGUGCACUGCAAUACUUGCUCAUCACUCGACCAGACAUAUCGUUUGCAGUGAACCGUGUGUGCCAGUAUCUUCAUGCGCCGCGUGAUUCUCACUGGUCCGCUGUUAAGCGCAUCUUGCGCUAUGUUCGUCACAUUGGUUCAUAUGGCCUUCAUCUUCAGUCGGCGCCUUCUGGACUGAUCUCCGCAUUUUCUGAUGCCGACUGGGCUGGUAAUCCUGAUGACAGGCGAUCCACGGGGGACAUGCUGUGUUCUUUGGACCUAACUUGA